rnacentral:rRNA from 1 species
UAAGCAUAUCAAUAAGCGGAGGAAAAGAAACUAACAAGGAUUCCCCUAGUAACUGCGAGUGAAGCGGGAAAAGCUCAAAUUUAAAAUCUGGCAGUYUUUGGCUGUCCGAGUUGUAAUCUAGAGAAGUAUUAUCCGCGCUGGACCGUGUACAAGUCUCCUGGAAUGGGGCGUCAUAGAGGGUGAGAAUCCCGUCUUUGACACGGACUGCCAGGGCUUUGUGAUGUGCUCUCAAAGAGUCGAGUUGUUUGGGAAUGCAGCUCAAAAUGGGUGGUAAAUUCCAUCUAAAGCUAAAUAUUGGCGAGAGACCGAUAGCGAACAAGUACCGUGAGGGAAAGAUGAAAAGAACUUUGGAAAGAGAGUUAAACAGUACGUGAAAUUGCUGAAAGGGAAACGCUUGAAGUCAGUCGCGUUGGCCAGGGAUCAACCUUGCUUUUUUGCUUGGCUUACUUUCUGGUUAAUGGGUCAGCAUCAAUUUUGGCCGGUGGAAAAAGUUCAAGGGAAUGUGGCAUCUUCGGAUGUGUUAUAGCCUUUGUUCGCAUACACUGGUUGGGAUUGAGGAACUCAGCACGCCGCAAGGCCGGGUUUUUAACCACGUACGUGCUUAGGAUGCUGGCAUAAUGGCUUUAAUCGACCCGUCUUGAAACACGGACCAAGGAGUCUAACAUGCCUGCGAGUGUUUGGGUGAAAAACCCGAGCGCGUAAUGAAAGUGAAAGUUGAGAUCCCUGUCGUGGGGAGCAUUGACGCCCGGAUCUGACCUUUUGUGACGAUUCUGCGGUAGAGCAUGUAUGUUGGGACCCGAAAGAUGGUGAACUAUGCCUGAAUAGGGUGAAGCCAGAGGAAACUCUGGUGGAGGCUCGUAGCGAUUCUGACGUGCAAAUCGAUCGUCAAAUUUGGGUAUAGGGGCGAAAGACUAAUCGAAUCAUCUAGUA